AUGUGCGUCCCUCACCGCUCCAUGUGCGUCCCUCCCGAAGCUGCGCGCUCGGUCGAAGAGGACGACCAUCCCCGAUAGAGGAGGACCGUUCUUCGGUCAAGGGUAUACGAGUAGCUGCGCUCCCCUGCUAGAACCUCCAAACAAGCUCUCAAGAAGGAGCGCCAUGGGAACUCAGUACACUGCUGGUGGGAGCAUAAAUUGGCACAGUCUUUU
rnacentral:sRNA from 1 species